AGGUGUCGGUCACUUUGUCACGGGACGUCGCGUGGAUCAAUUGGCCUGGAAGGGUCCCGUUGAUCCCUCCCACAUCUGAGGUGACGGGAAAGGGCUGGGGAAUUUCCACUGCUGAUUUAAAUGACGGGUGUCGUGACGACGCGCAAGAAAUGGUACAGUGGGCAGUGGGAGCCCCUCUGCACUUGGGGGGGCUUUCAGCGCAAGGAUCGCAGCGCCGCCGAGCUUCCGCAGCUCCCACCUGUCGCUCCCCGCCGGGCGCCCAGACGGCGGCUGGAGAGUUCCUGCGCGCCGAUUGGAGGCGAGCCGCGCUCCGUCUCUGCCAGGUCCCACCUUCCUGCCGUGCCCUGAUUGGAGAAGCCUGGCGUCAGUCACACGGUGCAGUCCCACCUUCAGGACAGGUUCCUCCUUGGUAAAGCUGUGCCUCUCGGAAUGAGUGGGAAAAGGAAAUGAAACCACACGUGGAGGGAACCGAUCAUCGUGCCUGCCCUACAGCAAGUGCCAGGAAGAUGGAGACGCCUGUGAGAACGAACACCACCAAGCCCGUCAGCCUCUGCUCCCUGCGGGGAGACGGGGUGGCUAGCCAGAGUCCCAGGGAGCCCCUGGGCACCUGGAGACCCUGACCAGACAUGCCUACAGAUCCUGGCAACAGGGAGGAACUAGAGGGAUUCCUUCCGACGGUGGCUGGAAAGGAGAGGACCUUAGCUCACUCGGGUUGAAGACUCAGUGGGCCGGACUGAGCAGGGCACUUCUCUAUGGGAAUCCCAGGCUUCUCCAUGGGCUCAACAUGGGCUCCUUGUUGCUGGCUUUUAUUUUGGUGGGAAAUUGGCUCGUAAAGAUGCCUCUUUCAUGGGGUAAAAAAUGACGAGCUGAUACCAAGGGCUCAAGUAGAAAGAAAAUGUUUUGAGAAUGAUGAUGGCAACAAAUGUACAAAUG